rnacentral:rRNA from 1 species
AGCGAACGCUGGCGGCAGGCUUAACACAUGCAAGUCGAGCGGGCAUCUUCGGAUGUCAGCGGCAGACGGGUGAGUAACACGUGGGAACGUACCCUUCGGUUCGGAACAACUCUGGGAAACUGGAGCUAAUACCGGAUACGCCCUUAUGGGGAAAGGUUUACUGCCGAAGGAUCGGCCCGCGUCUGAUUAGCUAGUUGGUGGGGUAACGGCCUACCAAGGCGACGAUCAGUAGCUGGUCUGAGAGGAUGAUCAGCCACACUGGGACUGAGACACGGCCCAGACUCCUACGGGAGGCAGCAGUGGGGAAUAUUGGACAAUGGGCGCAAGCCUGAUCCAGCCACGCCGCGUGAGUGAUGAAGGCCUUAGGGUUGUAAAGCUCUUCUGUCCGGGACGAUAAUGACGGUACUGGAAGAAUAAGCCCCGGCUAACUUCGUG